UCUCAAAAAAAAAAAAAAAAAGAAAAGAAAAGAAGAAAAGACAAGACAAAUUAGCCUAGAAUAUGAAAUCCGUGUUAGAACAGAAGAUUAGAUUGCAUAUGCAACACUUUUUAAGUGUUAAAAAUGGAAACACGGACACAUGAGGCUGGUUAAGGAUUUUUUGUAAUCCAUCAUAUUUUAUUGAACAUCUGUAUGUUCAAAUGAACAUGUAUUUUAUUGAACAUAUUUUAUUGAACACCUAAAGCAUAUUUUAGCAUUCAGGGUUAUAUACAAUAUAGUUUCUUUCUCUCAAGUUGGGAAAAAGAAUAAUAGAAGGAUAUUUUAUGCAAGAUUGAGGACUAUUAAUUUAUUUCGUGUGAAUAAAUGUUUAUUGAACAAUGAAACUUGUUUCUUGCCCUUGAGCUUACAGCCAUUUAAGACACCUGUGACAGGUGCCAGCCACUAAGGACUCUCUCUGUAUCCCUUGCCAACAAGAUUAGAGUGUGGUCUGAACGUGAUUGGAACGACUGAAGGCUUCCAAAAGCAAAAGGAGAAACAUGUUUAAAUUUAUGUUUUAGAUUUACUGUGGUGACUUCAUAAAAAUGGAUUUGAGGAGAUGGGUUAGGAGACUAUUCUAGUAAUCUGAGAAAAUAUCAUGACCUGAACCAGGGUGUAACUUGGAAAUUUAGUUAACUGAUUUAAAAUGUCUUUUAGAGAUAUUUCUAAAACCUUGGGAUUUUUUUUCUAUUAAUGUAUUAGUAUCAGUUGCUUGAAAAAUUAAAGGAUAUGUAGUUUGUCUUUUCUAUCCAAAUACUUUUUAAUCAAAAAUCUUACAUGUUCUGAACAGCAUUCUCAUUAGUUUCAGUCUCACCACCUGAAAUGUCUUGGAAGUUCCCACGUUCAGCAACAGAAGGUCAGUACACAGAUGACUUCAAAAGGGCCAGCCUGCAAGGGCACUAACUUGGAAGAAAACAGACCUCCUUCCAUACUUCGUAAUUAGGUUUGUUUUCUAGCUGAACUUGACAACAUUUCCAACAGGCAAAAUUAUGAGUUGUCCCUGGAGAAGUGCUUCAUCUCAGACUCAGGUUAUAGUACAAGAGAGACAUAAUGAAACCAGAAAAAAAAAAAAAGUAGAGACAGCCAAAUAAAAAGAUCUUUGACAAAAAGGGACUCUUGUGACACAGGAUGCUUUUAAUACCAGAAAUGUGAAGUCUCAUUUUGCGUAGUUUGUACUGGAAUUUUCAACAAGAGGUGACAGAGUAUGUGAAAACGUUGUUUUAUCUGUUUUGGGUUCUGGGUUAAUGGUAAGGAAGGAUCUGCUUCAGGCCUGUGAAGUUGUUGCCAUCGCUAUGAAACAAAUGGGUAAAUUAAUUGAGUAAUUCAGCAAAUAAUGAAAAAUUGCCUAAUGAUCGUUUCAUUUUCUUUCCUGAGUUAUUUUACUCUUCUUUCUAGAGCUAUUUUCCUUGUACUUGGUAAUACUACUUUGCAGCAAAAAUAGAGUAACUCUUAAGUUAACCUUAACACUUCAAUAUGGUUUGAAAGUCAGAAGGAAGAAGGGAGGAGGGUCAUUCAAGUAGUUCAAAUAGGUAGAAGAAAAUUUCUGCAGUAAGGCCCUUUUGAUAAGGCCAAUAAACAAGUAACAGGUUUCUUGGAUUAUUAUAUAUUAGAAGCAGCAAAUUAGGAGCUGAGAGCAUACAUACUGAAAGUGGCAGAAUAGGAUAUUAAAACCCUUACAAGUAGACAUAAGCACUUAGCACAGCAAUUGGAGAGCUAUCUGUUACCCAGGCAAAGGAUUCUAUAAACCUCAUUAGCUCCCCAAUGGCACCUCUGUGUUUACAACCAAGUACGAAAAUUAGGGCUCAUAAUGAUGACCCUGGGAAGGUGUAAUUACAUUUAUCUCAUGCUAUACAAAAAGACAGAGAAGAAUAAGAUUUCUCUUUGAAUGGUAAAGAUAAAAGUUUGGGCAGGUACAUGAAUAAAUUUUGUGAAUUUGGAAAACUGACUUUCAUUUAUUCAACUAAUAUUUUCUGAGCACGUCCUAUGCUCUAGAUAGUUUCUAAGUGCUGGAGAUAUAAAAAACAGAUACAAUCCUUGCCUUCAUAGAAUGUACAGAAUAGUAGGUGAAUUGGACAUAAAUCACAUAGUGUAAAUUACCACCAUGGUAAGUGCUGCUCUGGGAGGACAGAACAUAUUGUAACGUCACGUUUAUGGCUGAUAGGGCUGGUGGGGGAAUGUAACUUAAAUCCCCAACCAAAUAAUUUAGACUUACCAAAACAGAGUGUGACUUGAGACCCGGUUGCUUUGAGAUGAGCUUUGCAUACUCCAGUGUCUCAAAUUCUCCAGCGGGAAGGACAGAGAAAUACCAACCAAGAGUGUCCAUUCCUCUUCUCUUCAGAAACACCUGGGGUGGGAAGUAUUGUAAAGGAGAAGUACAUAGUGCUGGGAGAAUUUAUAAUCCUGAUCAAGGUCUUUAGAAGCUAUAUUCUCUUUCUUUGCCUUGAUUUUUUCAUCUGUAAAAUAGGCAAACAGGGGUGACCUAUUAUAACUCACGAGUUUGUUGUGAGCUUCAAAUGAAGUAAUUGGUGAGAAGCGCUUAAGGAUGCAAUGAUUGGAAAUUGUAAGCCAUAUAAACCACUGCUGCUACAGUGGUGGUUGGUUGUUUAUUAUUAUUAUUACUAUGAAGCAAUGGUAUUUUUGUGUCAUGAGGUUGUAAGCUCAAUGAGUGCAGGAAAUUUGGUUCGCUCACUGCUAUAGCCCCAUUGGGGCAUGCGUAGGUGCUCAAUAAACAUUUGUUGAAUAAACGCUUUGGGAAAGUGAGUAGGGAAACAGUGUGCAAAUGUGCAUUCUUACUGGUGCAUUGACUGAGGCCAGUGUAUCUUGAGAGAACACUGAUUUUAUUGGGUAUGGAAUGAAUUAUGGGGAAAAUAAUACUAGACAUACAUAAUUUUACAAUUUGAAAAAUUUUAGGGAUUAUCUAAUCCAAGAUUCUAUAGUGGUAAGCAAACAUGACCCAACAGAAGAGGUGAAAGGAGAUGUCAUUUGAAGAUAGAGUAUUCCCUUUUUCUAUUCUUUAAUUUGUUUUCAGACAUGGUAUCUAUUUGGGAUUUCAAAUUAUACCGGAGGAACAUUUCGGGGUGCUGGUGAGAAGCAUGGGUUAAGAAAAGGUGAAAAACUCUGAUUUAAAAUAACAUGCCAGUUGGAAGGUGAUGCAAUAAAAAAGUGGAAAUUUGUACAAAAAUAUAUAUAAAAUGCAGGAAAAUUAAAUUACAGUAAUAUAGUUAUUUUUCACUCAUUCCUGUUUCAGAAGCCAUUUGUUCUCCUACCUGUGUUCUAGCUUAAAUAUGCUUUGCAUUGCUUUUCUUACGUGGCUUCACAGCAGAAUUUGACCCUUAGGUCUACUUCCUGGUUGUUCAGAGCCUUCUUGCCUUCCACUGUACCACAUUGUCUGGCUUUAUUGGCUUAUUCCAUGUUUUCAGCUCUUCCUUGUCAUACCACUCCACGUGUUGAACCCCACAACUGUAUCAGAGACAAACUCUCAUUAGUGCUUCUUUUUACUCUUCCAAACUUCAGUUACUGCCCUAUCAGUGCUGCCCCAUAGAAAGGUAAUGUGAGUCAUAAUGCAAACUUGACAUGUAAUUGUAAGUUUUCUAGUAGCCACAUUACAAAAGUGAAAAAGAGAAGAAAUUAAUUUUUAUAAUUUGUUUAGCCUGAUAUAUCAAAAUAUUAUUUCAACAUAUCAGUAUAAAAAUUGAGAUCUUACAUUCCCUUUCAUACUGUCUUGGAAAUGUAGCAUGUAUCUUAUUUAUAGUACAUGUCACUUUGCCCUUGCUGUGUCCCAGGUGCUCCAUAGACAACAUGUGACUAGUGGCUACCACAAUGGAACCUGUAUGUCUGUAGGCUCACAAAUACCAAUUAUUUGUCUUUAGUCCAGGCUCUAAACCCAUGAUCCAGUUUCCUAGGAAGCACUUUAGACUCGGCCUGUCUACAACUAAGCAUAUUCUCUUCCCUUUCUUCCCCCACCCUGCUUAGCCUCCAGUGUUUGCAUCCCAUGAAAGAUGCCUUCAUCUACCAAGGAUCUGUUCACAGUUCCCCAUCAUUGCCAGUUCCAUGGGCCAUGUCACCACCAUUUUCUAUCUGGGCUAUGUUGAUAGCCUCCUAACUGCUCUUUCUGCCUUCAUUCUUGCCAUAACACCAUGUUGCUUACAAUUCCUACAUUGUUCUGAUAGUCCCCCCAAGAUUUUUUCAUAGUUUCCAUUGCCUUUGGUAUAAAGUCCAAACAUGCCUUAUUGUAUCCAUCAAGGGUCACUUCCCUGUCUGCCUUCCGGGGCUUCACCCUCCCUUCUCUCCAUUUCAGCCAUCUUGGCUUUCCUUCACUUCUCACUCUCACUAUUGUCUACCUGGAGCAUUCUACCCUCUCCUCUUAUGUAGCUAAGUUCAUUUUGUCCCUCAGAUGGUUUUGGUAGAGCAGUCUUUCACUGCCCUUGGCCUAGGUCAGUGUCCUCUCAUCCUCCGUAGCUCUCAUCACUUGUAAAACCUUGUAUUUGUCUUCUUUACUGGACUGUAACCUCUGAGAAGGGAGGGACUGGGUCCAACUUUUGCUCUGCCAUAUAUGUAGUGUGUAGUAAGGUACCUGGCCUGUAGUCAGUAUUUCAUGAAUAUUUAGAGGGAUGAAUGAAUGAAGACAUCCAGAAAGAACACAGUAUUAAAGUCCUCAGGUUUAAUUAACCUUUACCCCAGCAUAUGAAUAACCUUUGGAACAUCCCAGCCUCUGCUUGAAUACCUAGUGAUAGAAAGUUUACCAACUAGAAGAACAUUUCUUCUUUUGAACAAGUCAUGAUUAAAAAGCUAUUUCAUUAUAUAUAGGAAUUAUGUCUUAUGUAAGAAAAUGGUUUGUAAACUUUAAAGGAUUACCCCCCUCAAAAAUAAAUCCACAUGAUAGAGUUUGUAUUAUUCUAAGUAUUCCGUUUUAACUUAUCAUUGUUGAGCUUGGUUACUAGAUGCAUCAUGAAUUUUAUUUUUCAUUGAAAAACAAUGUAUAUUUUUUCACUCCUGCCAAUUAUUGUCUACAAUAAAGAAAUACAACAUUGCCACCUCAUUUUCAUUUUCUAUCUUGUUUACAUGGGUCUGUGUUUAUAUGCGUUCAUGUGCACGUGUGUAUAUGUAUUGUCUCUCUCUCACAUUAAAAAAAUCUAACUAAAAUAUCCAGUGUUUUCCAUUAGGUCUCAUUUGUUACACAUUUCUACUUUUAAAUUACUUCUGAACCACAGAAUCUGGCAGGCCUUUUUGGAAGGCAUUUGAGGAUAACUACUCUAUCUGGAAUCCAGCCAUUUACAGUAUUUGGAAGCAAAGAACAAAGCAAAGCAAAUUGAGAUUUUGUUGAGUGUUUAAAAGUUUUGGAAAGAACAGUUAAAAAGAAAUCCUCCAUGGGUAGAUGUUUUGAAAACACCAAGUUUUCUCAACCUUUAAUUUUGUGCAUCUGAAAACCAACUUGAAUUUGUCUUUAAUCUCCUGCUAGUCAGUGGAAAGUAAACAAGCAGAAUUGCUAAUCCUAUAUGGCCUUGGAAUAAUGUUUAAAGGAACAGGAUAGUUUAAUGGAUGAAUCACUCUUCUUUACACUAUUAGAUUCAAAUGCAGCAGAGAUGCAAUACUUGAUAAUAUGUGUCAUUCCCGUUCUUUCUCAGGAUAAUUCACAUGUAAUUGUCUGAUUUUUAGAAUGUCUGAAACCUCUUGAUAAUGUUAAGCAUAUUGAGCAAGAGUGGUAAUGUUGACCUCACACUAAUAAUAGAGAGGCAGUGGAGGUAAACAGAUGUGGACUCUCAAGUCCUGGCUGCUGUGGGCCGUAUUCCAGCUCCUGCUAAUAGCAGCUAACAUUUAUUGAGUGCUGACCAGGUGCCAAACAAUGUACUGGGUGAUUUAGGUAUGUUUUCUCAUUCAACUUUGAGGACAAUAGUGGUAUCUCCCUUUUAUAAAUUUCAGAGGUUGAGUAACUUGCCAAGUUUACGUAGCUGCCAGUGGAGUUUGAACUUCAUUCCUGAUGUUUAGCUUUAACGCUCAUGCUUUUUUCAGCCAUCCUGUCUCUAUGUUGUUUAGAUUUAUUAUCUUUGUCGUUACUUAUAAUUCCAGUAUUUCACUAUGUUAGAUAUACUUCUAAUCAUGUUUUAGUUGACCUGAAUAUAAGGAAUACAUUUUGAGUAUUUUCAGGAAGUUUAAAAAACUCUAGCUAUUAAUAUUUCUGAAAAUAUAAACCUGCAAAUGGCCAUUUAUGUUACUUUAGAGAGAAAGUGGGUAGAAGUUUCUCUUCCUUGUUGUAGUAAGUCAGUCCUAAAAAGAUGAAUAAGGACUUUAGAACCAUUCUUUACAUUUUGAAUAAAACAUGUGUCUAUCCCCCUUUCUCUAGAUAUAGCUUAUGCGGUAGUUGCCAUUCAGCAAUUAAUUUAAAGCUAUGUCAGGAAUUGUCACCAACGUUAGUCCUACUUAUUAUCCUCGAAGGUCAACAAACAGUAAUGCAACUGGCCUCAAAUUUUUUUUAGUUGAACCGUGGAACACUCUGCAACCUGUCUUUCUAUGGAGCAGUUGUAAUUUAACCCCAAGAUUCUGAAUGUCCAGACCUCAAAAGGAGAAUAGUACUUAUUACAUCUUCUUUUUCCUUUGCAAUUUUUUUCGAGUGUGUGUGUGUGCAUGUGAGUUUGUCACUGAGUGGCUCUUGCUACCUAAUCUGACCUUUUAAACUUUCUCAUAUACCUUUAAAAUGAUUCUUAGGGGGAAUUUAAUUUGCCAUUUAGAGGAAGUUUUAGUUCUAGUUUCAGAAAACAUAGGUUGGAAUUGUCUGCAAAUCACAAUGAGAAAUCCAGGCUUCAUAACCUCCAACCCCACUUCAGACAUUGAUUUAAAAGAAUGAACCUAAUAAUAAUGAAUCCCAGGGACCAAAAGCAGGCCAGUCAGAAUGGGUGUUCAGGGGAACAGGUUAACCAGUAUUCUGACCUCUCUCCCCUUGAAGCUUAAGUAAGUUAAAAAAAAAAAAAAAGAAAAAGGUGGGGGAGUGGGGGGCGGAUAUCCCACUGCUGCCUUAGGACUUGAAUCUAUGAGAUGUAGAGAGCCUGUGUUUGGGCUAAAAUAAAGGGUUAAACCCUCUUACUUAACAGUUCUUUCAAUGGCACAGAAAGUGAACUU